rnacentral:rRNA from 1 species
GACGAACGCUGGCGGCGUGCUUAACACAUGCAAGUCGAACGGAAAGGCCCCUUUGGGGGUACUCGAGUGGCGAACGGUUGUGUAACACGUGAGUAACCUGCCCUUGACUUCGUGAUAACUUCAUGAAACUGGGUCUAAUACCGGAUAGGAAUCCUUUCUGCAUGGUGGGUGUUGGUAAGCUUCUGCGGUUUUGGAUGUACUCGCGGCCUAUCGGCUUGUUUGUGGGGUAGUGGGUUACCAAGGCUUUGUCGGGUAGCCGGCCUGAGAGGGCGACCGGCCACAAUGGGACUGAGAUAAGGCCCAGACACCUACGGGAGGAAGAAGGGGGGAAAAGUGCAAAAUGGGCGGAAGGCAGAUGCAGCAAAGCCGCGUGCGGGAAGACGGCCUUCGGGUUGGAAACCGCUUUCAGCAGGGGCGAAGCUUGUGGUGACGGUACCUGCAGAAGAAGCACCGGCUAACUACGUG